rnacentral:rRNA from 1 species
GUGGGGAAUCUUCCGCAAUGGACGAAAGUCUGACGGAGCAACGCCGCGUGAGUGAAGAAGGUUUUCGGAUCGUAAAGCUCUUUCGUUAGGGACGAACGUGCUCUUUGUGAAUAAUGAGGAGUAAUGACGGUACCUAAAUAAGAAGCCACGGCUAACUACGUGCCAGCAGCCGCGGUAAUACGUAGGUGGCAAGCGUUGUCCGGAAUUAUUGGGCGUAAAGCGCGCGCAGGCGGGAUAUCAAGUCUGUCUUAAAAGUGCGAGGCUCAACCUCGUGAGGGGACAGAAACUGGUAUUCUUGAGUGUCGGAGAGGAAAGUGGAAUUCCAAGUGUAGCGGUGAAAUGCGUAGAGAUUUGGAAGAACACCAGUGGCGAAGGCGACUUUCUGGACGAUGUCUGACGCUGAGGCGCGAAAGCUAUGGGAGCGAACGGGAUUAGAAACCCCUGUAGUCC